CGUAAAAGUGCCUGUAACACUCCCAUCGAAAAUGAGUUUGACCCGAAAACGAGAAUACAGCAACUCUUGGAAGUGCCUCUUUCGUCGUAUGCUUUCACAUGAAGGUUUGACUCAGGUACAUUCACAAAACAAGCCUAGGUUGCAUUGUGGUGAGAGUUUUUGCUUAAAGAUGCAGAACGUCAGGACCUGCAAGAGACGUGGUGCUGGACCCGCCGGUGAGGAGGUCGGCUUGGGACCAGUUGUCCACAAAUAGGCUGAGGAGGAACAUCCAUGUCCCUGUCGCCCACUGUGUCCCCCACCACCCCCUGUCCCUCUCUCUCUCUCUCUAUCUCUCUGUCUCUCUCUGUCUCUCUCAACCCAACCGGUCGAGGCAGAUGGCCGCCCACCAUUGAGCCCGGUUCUGCUCCGAGAUUUCUGCCUAUUAAAAGGCAGUUUUUUCUCGCCACUGUCGCCGAGUGCUUGCUCAUGGGGGAAAUGUUGGGUCUCUGUAAAUAAAUUGGAUUUAGAAGAAUGGUCUAGACCUGCUCAAUUUGGAAAAUUUCAGUUUUAGUUUGAAUUGGCGCUUCACAAAUUGACUGACUGAUUAAACCUGAGUCCUUUCAAAACUGUAGAUUUUUUUGUAUCCAUUUGGUCUAAUUAUAGGUGUCGCCAUAUCAGCACAAAUGAUCCCAGUAACUGCAGACUCGGCAGUGUAAUGGGCAUUGAAGCAGUGCAUCCAGAUAAGGUGUUUGUAACACAGAGGGGGCCAACAAGUCCCCGAUGGAGCUCGCUAAUGGUACAAGCAGAGGAAAGAAAAGCUGUGCAGACACAGAUAGUGGAUGACAAACACACCAAAUGUGGAACAACAUUGUGCAAUAAUAAUAGCACAUUGAUGGUCGACAUUUACCUCCAAUAUAAGAUGCCCUUUGAACAACUACUAGAUCGAUAUGCAACACAAUUUGUACCAUGAUCCAAGUUGUACAUUGACACUAAUCUAAAAUGCUUAAGUAAUUUUUAAUAACAUCUAACGACAAAUCCAUCUCAGGACUCGAGGUUGGUGUUUCAUUCUUGACAGCAGUUGACCAGACAAACUCUUCUUAAUUGCUCAUUCUGGCAAAAAGGCACUUGGUUAGGGUCGGGAAAAGAUCAUGUUGUGGCUCACAAUACCUGUUUUGUUUUCCACGGAGACAUCUGGAGUCGUCCUGACUUCCCCUCAAAAACAUGUGGUUUUUUUUUUUUUUUUUUUGCCACCACAAAGAUGGCAGAAAAUUGGGCUGAGGACUCCUUGAAAAUAUCUAUAGGCGUCACACUAACAUAUGAUGUAGUCUUGAAGUGUAGUCACUGUCUUCACAGCCAGUCCGGAGCCAUUAAUGACCCAACCGAGGAUUGUUCGAACUGUGUAUGGACCAUCGUCCGCACUGUGGAUGAUUUCCCAUGGUUCCAUGGCCUUGUAACCAUCACAGCCUAUCAACAGUCCUACAUCUACCUUUAUUUGUGGCAGCUCGAUACCAUGAAGGUGUGGCCACUCUUUCAAAUCUUCCUGCACAGGAAUGUUCUCUUUGGACACAGGAAUGUCUUCAUGAGUAUAAAUCUCAGAAUAUACAUGGCUUCUGAAAGGCACUAACGACUUGACGAGAGGAGCCUUUACAGUUUUCUGGUGAGUUCUCAUUUGCAGCUUGUGCUACACUUGUAGCAAACGUACUCCCCUUUGGCCUGUUUGCUCUGUCUGUUUUCACAUAAUGUUUCCCCUUAUCUUCAGUAUACUUAAUGUCACCAAAAAGAGGAUCUGCAGCUAUUUUAGCUUGCCUGGUUAUGAAUUUGACCAGAUCUGCAAAUCUUGGUCUCUUUCCAGCAGUUUUGUGAAUAUCAAAUGCAGAAACUCUCCACUGAAAACAGGUAUGUCUCCUUGGGGCAAAUGGGUCAGCUUCUGUUGUUUGACUAACAUCUCAGUGAUGUCAUUCUGUUUCAGCAUCACUUCACACAGGUUUACUGCAUCGUUACUGAAAUUAGUGUGCUGUGUCUCCUUUUCUUGUUUCACUUUGUUAUUCACCUAUUACCUUUCAGUGUGUUCACACUUUACUGCUGGUUCUUGUUUGGACAGCAGAUUGUCCACUGAUUUUGUCUCAGAAUGAGCCGUUGCAUGUUGUUGGUUCUCAUACUCACAAUUCUCCAGCACUAUUUUUGCUGAAGAUGCAGCAAUUGCUGUCUCGAUCUCAAGCUGAUCUUACUUUGCCUUUAACUUGCACUCUUCAAGUUCUAAUGCCUCUUUCUGCUCAUGCAAGUAGGGCGGCAUUUUGUGCUCUUUCUCCCUGAGGUAUAGAUGAAAUGGAAAAUCUUGAAGAUCCUGAUGACCUGGACGAUCUAGAAGAUCUGGACAGUCUCGAAGAACGGACAGUUGCUGUGCUUUGUGCCACAUGGAACACAGAUUCAUCCUCCGCCGGUGUAGCAACCGCUGAUACGCUGUCAUCUGGACUCACUUCUUCUUGAUGCUGUUGCUGUGAUGCAUAGAUCCGUUCUUCAGCUUCAUUAAUAAAUUUGUUGAACUGA